CUUCCAGUAGCACCUUAGAGACCAAGUAAGUUUGUUCUUGGUAUGAGCUUUCAUGUGCAUGCACACAGAUACCAAGUGUGCAUGCACAUGAAAAGCUCAUACCAAUAACAAACUUAGCUGGUCUCUAAGAUGCUACUGGAAG